rnacentral:rRNA from 1 species
AUUGAACGCUGGCGGCAGGCCUAACACAUGCAAGUCGAACGAGUGGCGGACGGGUGAGUAAUGUCUGGGCAACUGCCUGAUGGAGGGGGAUAACUACUGGAAACGGUAGCUAAUACCGCAUACCAUCGGAUGUGCCCAGAUGGGAUUAGCUAGGAGGUGGGGUAACGGCUCACCUAGGCGACGAUCCCUAGCUGGUCUGAGAGGAUGACGGCCCACACUGGAACUGAGACACGGUCCACACUCUUACGGGAGGCAGCAGUGGGGAAUAUUGCACACUGGGCGAAAGCCUGAUGCAGCCAUGCCGCGUGUAUGAAGAAGGCCUUCGGGUUGUAAAGUACUUUCAGCGGGGAGGCGUUACCCGCAGAAGAAGCACCGGCUAACUCCGUGCCAGCAGCCGCGGUAAUUC